rfam:Fukomys damarensis contig109638, whole genome shotgun sequence.
GUCCUUUUGUGGGUCCUAAGCAUGAUGACUGGCAUUUCAUGCUGGUAAGUAAAAUUUGCCUCCCUCAUACCUUGUUACAACAUAGGCAAUUACCCAUCUGCAU